rnacentral:rRNA from 1 species
CAGCAGCCGCGGUAAUACGUAGGGUGCAAGCGUUAAUCGGAAUUACUGGGCGUAAAGCGUGCGCAGGCGGUUCGCUAAGACAGAGGUGAAAUCCCCGGGCUCAACCUGGGAACUGCCUUUGUGACUGCAAGGCUGGAGUGCGGCAGAGGGGGAUGGAAUUCCGCGUGUAGCAGUGAAAUGCGUAGAUAUGCGGAGGAACACCGAUGGCGAAGGCAAUCCCCUGGGCCUGCACUGACGCUCAUGCACGAAAGCGUGGGGAGCAAACAGGAUUAGAUACCCGCGUAGUCCCUGUCUCUUAUAC